GACGAACGCUGGCGGCGUGCCUAAUACAUGCAAGUAGAACGCAGUUGCGAACGGGUGAGUAACGCGUCGGUCACUGCCUGGUCGCGGGGGAUAACUAUUGGAAACGAUAGCUAAUCCCGCAUACUACCAGAUGGACCUGCGUUGUCUUAGCUAGUUGGUGGGGUAACGGCGCACCAAGGCAACGAUACAUAGCCGACCGGGGAGGGUGAUCGGGCACAAUGGGACGGAGACACGGCCCAGACACCAACGGGUGGCAGCAGUAGGGAAUAUUCGGGAAUGGGGGGAACCCUGACCGAGCGACGCGGCGGGAGUGAAGAAGGUUUUCGGAACGUAAAGCUCUGUUGGUAAGGAAGCGGUACUGAACCAGAAAGGGUCGGCUAACUACGUGCCAGCAGCCGCGGUAAUUC
rnacentral:rRNA from 1 species